rnacentral:rRNA from 1 species
UACAGAGGUCUCAAGCGUUGUUCGGAUUCAUUGGGCGUAAAGGGUGCGUAGGCGGCGCCGUAAGUCAGGUGUGAAAUUUCGGAGCUUAACUCCGAAACUGCAUUUGAUACUGCGGUGCUUGAGGACUGGAGAGGAGACUGGAAUUUACGGUGUAGCAGUGAAAUGCGUAGAGAUCGUAAGGAAGACCAGUGGCGAAGGCGGGUCUCUGGACAGUUCCUGACACUGAGGCACGAAGGCCAGGGGAGCAAACGGG